rnacentral:tRNA from 1 species
AAGAUUUUAAGUUAAAAAAACUAAUAACCUUCAAAGUUAUAAAUAAAUAAUUAUAUCUUUUAAAUCUUA